CUGCCCUAUGAGGAUUUAAAUGGCCGCGGUAUUUUGACCGUGCAAAGGUAGCAUAAUCAUUAGUUUUUUAAUUGAAAGCUGGUAUGAAAGGUUGGAUGAGAAAAUUACUGUCUCUAUUUAAUUUAUUUAGAAUUUUAUUUUUAAGUAAGAAAGCUUAAAUAUAGAUAGAAGACGAGAAGACCCUAUAGAGUUUUAUAGAUUUUAAUUUAAGAAGUUUUUAGAAUUAAUAAAUUUUUAAAUUAAUGUGUAUUUAGUUGGGGUGAUUGAAAAAUUAAAAAAACUUUUUUUAUUUUGGUAACCAUUUAUUUAUGAUUAAAUGAUCCUUAUUUAAAGAUUAAAAGAAAAAAUUACCUUAGGGAUAACAGCGUAAUUUUUUUAAAGAGUUCAAAUC
rnacentral:rRNA from 1 species